rnacentral:rRNA from 1 species
ACAGAGGGUGCGAGCGUUAAUCGGAUUUACUGGGCGUAAAGCGUGCGUAGGCGGCUUCUUAAGUCGGAUGUGAAAUCCCUGAGCUUAACUUAGGAAUUGCAUUCGAUACUGGGAAGCUAGAGUAUGGGAGAGGAUGGUAGAAUUCCAGGUGUAGCGGUGAAAUGCGUAGAGAUCUGGAGGAAUACCGAUGGGGAAGGCAGCCAUCUGGCAUAAUACUCACGCUUAGGUACGAGAGCAUGGUGAGCAAAAAG